rnacentral:rRNA from 1 species
UACGGAGGGUGCAAGCGUUACCGCGAUUCACUGGGUUUAAAGGGUGCGUAGGCGGGCAGGUAAGUCCGUGGUGAAAUCUCUGAGCUUAACUCAGAAACUGCCAUGGAUACUAUUUGUCUUGAAUAUUGUGGAGGUAAGCGGAAUAUGUCAUGUAGCGGUGAAAUGCUUAGAUAUGACAUAGAACACCAAUUGCGAAGGCAGCUUACUACACAGUUAUUGACGCUGAGGCACGAAAGCGUGGGGAUCAAACAGG